rnacentral:tRNA from 1 species
GGGCCGUUAGCAUAGUGGCAGUGCACCCGCCUUGCACGCGGGAGGCGCGAGUUCGAUUCUCGCACGGUCCA